CGACCCGGGAUAUAAUGGACGACCCGGUAGCAUUUAAGAUAGCUACCUGCCAAUUGGAUAUAUGCCUAACCAGGCAAGAGUCCCUGAUAGCCCACUAUGUCAUCGUCUCAGAUUGUGAAGUUCUGACCUCAGUGACCAUAACACCCAUCGCCUUCCUCCUCAAUUCAUCGAUUUUGAACUACAAUUUGUCAAUUACCCAGCCGCCCAGACGAUUGUACGGUUCCCUUCGUCGCCGACGACCGUAGGUCGAACAAUCUGUGUCGUUGUUGUCAGGAAAGCUCGAUUCUCACACAGUUCUUCAUGGCUAGGGAAGAGGACGGCCCUCUGGAUCAGGUACACAUAUUUCACCAUUCACCAUCGUUCAUAUCUUUGUUAUUGUUCUGGAUGUGUAGCCAUUUUGGAGAAUUGAAAUCGAUUAGUGUGAUUACAAGCGGAGAUGCGAUGUGGAUUUAAAUUGGGUAUUCAUAACGGGAUCUGAAAAUAAACAUCCUGUGUUUGUCCUGAGAUUGAGUUUGAAUCGCAUUAUACGUGUUGAGCACCAAAUGAAUGCUGCUGUUAGGACCCCGUUCCUAAAUUGAACUGAACCAAUUAGUGUUACAAUGGUUCCAGAUCAUUGAUUACAUUGUUGUUUACUAGCUGUGGUUGUUGUUUUUUGUUGAGUUUCGAAGAGUAUAGAGUUGGGUUUGCACAGCAUGUUAUCAAUUUUCUUCUGGUAAAAUGUGUUAGUAAAAACACGUUAUGAUGCAUCUAUGCUUCAACGACGGGCAACUGUAUGUGUAUUGGUUCAUCAGGGUGACCGUAGGCGUGAUGAUAUAACAACCUUGUUGAUUUUGCUAGAGGAAAUAAUACGCAAUCAUCAGAUAAACUUGUUGCUUAUAUCCCUCAUAAUCACGCUUAUUGGGCCCCAAACCCACAAGCGCAAACGAUGGGACAGACUUGGCCCAACACAGAUGCUCGAUUCAAUUCCUGCUCGUGUGAAGUAGUUGGAUAGGCAUGUGCGUGUCACGGAUAGGUCAUCUGUGGAUAAUUUAAGGAUGGACAGAAACACAUUCGGGCGUCUAUGUCGUCUACUCCGUGAUCCUGUAGGAUUAAUUAACAAAAAAUUUGUGAUAGUAGAAGAACAAGUUGCCAUGUUCUUAUGUGUUUUAUCAUACCAUAAGAAAGCUCGUAUUGUUGGGUAUGAUUUCAUGCCAUCCUCCCAAACUGUAUCAAGAUACAUACACACUGUGCUCCGUGGUGUGCUCACGCUUCACAGUCUGUUUUGGUGAAGCCCAAACCUAUAGACGAUCUGUGUUCGAACCGGCGUUGGAAUUGAUUUAAGAGCUGUCUAGGAGCCUUAGAUAGAACGUAUAUCAAUGUACGAGUGCCUAUUACGGACGCCCCACGAUAUCGGAAUCGGAAAGGUCACAUCACCAUAAACACAUUAGCUGUUUGUGACCCACAACUUCGAUUCAUUUACGUCCUUCCUGGUUGGGAAGGUUCUGGGGAGAUUCAAGGAUUUUACGCGAUGCAAUAAGUAGCCCGCUCGGUCUCAAAGUGCCUAAAGGUUAGUGUGUUGUUCAGUAACAUAGUAGUUACUAGUCUAAUGAAUCAGAAACCAUGUAAAUGUUCAAUUGGUAUAUCCUUUAGUCAGGUUGCUACUACCUUUAUGAUAAUGCAUAUGCAAAUGCUAAAGGCUUUGUGACUCCAUAUAAAGGAGUUCGUUAUCAUCUGAAGGAAUGAUGCCCUGGUAGGCAAGCCCCUCAGUCACCGAAAGAGUUGUUCAACUUAAGAUACACUAAGGCGCGAAAUGUCAUUGAACGAUCGUUUGCCAUUUUGAAGAUGCGGUGGGGUAUUCUUAGAUCUGCAAGUUUAUACCCGAUUGAUGUGCAAACCGACCUUAUAAUCGCCUGUUUCAUGUUACACAAUUUCAUACGAGCUCAAAUGGUGGUUGAUCCGGUUGAGGCGGAAUUGGAUAAUCAAGUAGACGAUGACGAUGACAGUGAGAACGAACAUGAGGACGAUGAUCAUAUCAGUAUUUUCGAACCUUCAGCAUCAUGGAACAAUAAAAUAGAUGAUCUUGCAAGAGCUAUGUGGGCCGAGAGAAACAAUCGAUAAACGGGGACGAUCAUGAGGUAAUUGUAUGAGUUCUAUUUGGUCUAUGUUAAGACAUAUUGGUUUUUUCCUUUUUAUGUUUCAAAUUAUGCAUUAUGGAGCAUGUAGCAACUUAGUUAUUCUUUGAUUUUUUAUGUUGAGUGAUCUAUUUGAACCUCA